rnacentral:rRNA from 1 species
GACGGGGGGGCAAGUGUUCUUCGGAAUGACUGGGCGUAAAGGGUCCGUAGGCGGUUUGGUAAGUCAGUGGUGAAAGCCCAUCGCUCAACGGUGGAACGGCCAUUGAUACUGCCAGACUUGAAUUAUUAGGAAGUAACUAGAAUAUGUAGUGUAGCGGUGAAAUGCUUAGAGAUUACAUGGAAUACCAAUUGCGAAGGCAGGUUACUACUAAUGGAUUGACGCUGAUGGACGAAAGCGUGGGUAGCGAACAGG